UACGGGGGGAGCCAGCGUUGUUCGGAUUUACUGGGCGUAAAGGGCGCGUAGGCGGUCAGCACAAGUCAGUUGUGAAAUCUCCGGGCUUAACUCGGAAAGGUCAACUGAUACUGUGCGACUAGAGUGCAGAAGGGGCAACUGGAAUUCUCGGUGUAGCGGUGAAAUGCGUAGAUAUCGAGAGGAACACCUACGGCGAAGGCGGGUUGCUGGGCUGACACUGACGCUGAUGCGCGAAAGCGUGGGGAGCAAACAGG
rnacentral:rRNA from 1 species